rnacentral:lncRNA from 1 species
CAGAGCUAAGAAGUGCUGUCAUAAUCAUUACACUUGGUGAGAUAUAAGGUGCUGUCAUAAUCAUUAUACUUGGCAGAGAAUUUCCAUAUUUUGUGGGCCUGGAGGGACAGUUGAAUCACAAGGCAUUAACCUUACUUGCCAGGGACUCAUUUCUCCUCUUCAGGACUCUUAGGGAAAACAGAUGCAGAGACAAUCCACGUACACAUUUGGGUUCACACAGCACAGAGCAGAAUGCUGGUUCCCAAGGCUCUGUUCCCUGGAGAGGUCUGGGCUGGGCUGGGGCCUGAAUUCUGCUUUUCUGCAAAGCUUUCAAGAAAUGCCAGUAUUGCUGGUCCCGAAACCAGCACUUUGAGUAAUGAAACCCUAACGUUCCACCAAAUCCCUUUAGCUAUGAAGCUCGAGGUGUGCCCUUGAGUUUCUGGAGCGCACAAGCCCUAUGUGGAUUGUGAUGGGAGGGGGGAGGGGGACAAGGCCCUGUCCCUGUCCCUGUGGGGGCUCUAGGUCUCCAGGUGGUUGACUGACCACCGCCAUGGAUACAGACACAGCUCCCACCCCGCCUCCUCUCUGCCAGCCACGGCAGGUGCCAGCCUCAUCUCUCACCUGGUAACUCAGGAGAGGAAAGUGAGAUUCAAGAUGGCCCAACACACACACACACGCGCACACACACACACACACACACAAAUACACGAACCACACACACACCACAUACAACACAACACACACAAAGCACACACACAGCACACACAACACACACACAACUUUCUCUGAGGCUCCCAGGCUCCCACUGAGAGGGAGAGGUGGUGACUGCUCAGGAGGUGGGGACAUUCCUACCAAGGGUCCUGUUGUUUUCUCAAAUCUAUCCCCAUCUCUCUACCCUUGCUCUGUCUGAUAGCCAGAGAGGCCACUCAUCUUUUUUUUUUCUUUUGAGGCAGGUCUCACUUUGCCACCCAGGCUAGAAUGCAGUGGCUGGAUCACAGUCAGCCUCGAUCUUCCAGGCUCAAGUGAUCCUCCUGCCUCAGCCUCCCAAGUAGCUGAGACUACAGGCAGGUGCCUGGCUAAUUUUUAAAUUUUUUUUUUUGGUAGAGGCAGGGUCUCCCUAUAUUGCCCAAGCUGGUGUCAAACUCCUGGGUUCAAGUAAUCCUCCCACCUCGGCCUCCCAAGGUGCAGGGAUUACAGAUGUGAGUCACGGAGCCUGGCCUAGGCCUCCUAAUCUCAAACCUGCUUCCCUCCUUCGUUGCUCUGUGAGCCACCCCCAACACUGCUGCCAUCUCAUGGAACAAAAC